rnacentral:rRNA from 1 species
CAGCCGCCACGGUAAUACGUAGGUCCCGAGCGUUGUCCGGAUUUAUUGGGCGUAAAGCGAGCGCAGGCGGUUUGAUAAGUCUGAAGUUAAAGGCUGUGGCUCAACCAUAGUUCGCCUUGGAAACUGUCAAACUUGAGUGCAGAAGGGGAGAGUGGAAUUCCAUGUGUAGCGGUGAAAUGCGUAGAGAUGUGGAGGAACACCAGUGGCGAAGGCGACUCUCUGGUCUGUAACUGACGCUGAGGAGCGAAAGCGUGGGGAGCGAACAGGAUUAGAUACCCGGGUAGUCCCUGUCUCUUAUACA